rnacentral:rRNA from 1 species
GUGAACGCUGGCGGCGUGCCUAACACAUGCAAGUCGAACGAUGAUAGGAAGCUUGCUUUCUUGAUUAGUGGCGCACGGGUGAGUAAUGCAUAGAUAAUGUGCCCCUUAGUUCGGGAUAGCCACUGGAAACGGUGAUUAAUACCGGAUACUCCUUCUUACUAUAAGGUAAGUCGGGAAAGUUUUUCGCUAAGGGAUCAGUCUAUGUUCCAUCAGGUAGUUGGUGAGGUAAUGGCUCACCAAGCCUAUGACGGAUAUCUGGUUUGAGAGGAUGAUCAGACACACUGGAACUGAGACACGGUCCAGACUCCUACGGGAGGCAGCAGUGAGGAAUAUUGCACAAUGGAGGAAACUCUGAUGCAGCAACGCCGCGUGGAGGAUGACGCAUUUCGGUGUGUAAACUCCUUUUAUAUGUCAAGAAAAUGACGGUAGCAUAUGAAUAAGCACCGGCUAACUCCGU